rnacentral:tRNA from 1 species
UGGCUCAGUUGGUAGAGCAUGGUGCUCGCAACGCCAAGGAUCGUGGGUUUGAUUCCUGC